rnacentral:snoRNA from 1 species
GCGUUGAUGAAUUUGUCGAAUCCGUGUUUCAGCUGAGCGACGAUGCUGAUACAUGCACGCUU